GACGAACGCUGGCUGCGUGCUUAACACAUGCAAGUCGAACGCUGAAGCCCGCAGCUUGCUGUGGGUGGAUGAGUGGCGAACGGGCGAGUAACACGUGCGUAACAUGCCCCUGACUUCGGGCUAAGCCCGGGAAACUGGGUCUAAUACCGGACACGAACAUCGGUCGCAUGUCCGGUGGUGGAAAGUUUUUUCGGUUGGGGAUGGGCUCGCGGCCUAUCAGUGUGCUGGUGAGGUAAUGGCUCACCAAGACGCCGACGGGUAGCCGGCCUGAGAGGGCGACCGGCCACCAUGGGACUGAGGCACGGCCCGGACUCCUACGGGAGGCAGCAGUGGGGAAUAUUGCACUAUGGGGGAAACCCUGAUGCAGCGACGCAGCGUGCGGGAUGACGGCCUUCGGGUUGUAAACCGCUUUCAGCAGGGAAGAAGCGAAAGUGACGGUACCUGCAGAAGAAGUACCGGCUAACUACGUGCCAGCAGCCGCCGUAA
rnacentral:rRNA from 1 species